GCCGUGGUGCGUGGAAUUGGCAGACCGGCCUGUCUUAAAAACAGGCGUUCCUAAGCGAACAUGUGGGUUCGAACCCACCCACGGCACCA
rnacentral:tRNA from 1 species